GUCAAGCUGUGUCCGUGGAGAGAAAUGGACAGUGAACAUACCAGACAUCCAUGAAAACAGAGGAGUGCCCCAAAGAAAGAAUGACAAUUAAAAUGUUAGAACUCCAAAGUUCCCUGCCACGUACAAGCAGCAGCAAGGCGGAGGAGACGUCAGGAUGUGAAGCAUGGAGACCCAGUCAGCCAGUGCUGGGACCUGGAAGAAAGUGUAA